AACGAACGCUGGCGGCGCGCCUAACACAUGCAAGUCGAACGAGAAGGCGUAGCAAUACGCUUGUAGAGUGGCGAACGGGUGAGUAAUACGUGGGUGACCUACCCUCGAGUGGGGAAUAACCCGCCGAAAGGCGGGCUAAUGCCGCGUACGCUUCCGUCCUCACGGGGACGGAAGGAAAGCUGUACCGUGGGUACGGCGCUCAAGGAUGGGCUCACGUCCUAUCAGCUUGUUGGUAGGGUAACGGCCACCAAGGCUACGACGGGUAGCUGGUCUGAGAGGACGAUCAGCCACACUGGCACUGCGACACGGGCCAGACUCCUACGGGAGGCAGCAGUGAGGAGUAUUGCGCAAUGGGCGAAAGCCUGACGCAGCGACGCCGCGUGGGGGA
rnacentral:rRNA from 1 species